AUUGAACGCUAGCGGGAUGCUUUACACAUGCAAGUCGAACGGCAGCGCGGACUUCGGUCUGGCGGCGAGUGGCGAACGGGUGAGUAAUGUAUCGGAACGUGCCCAGUAGCGGGGGAUAACUACGCGAAAGCGUAGCUAAUACCACAUACGCCCUACGGGGGAAAGCAGGGGAUCGUAAGACCUUGCACUAUUGGAGCGGCCGAUAUCGGAUUAGCUAGUUGGUGAGGUAACGGCUCACCAAGGCGACGAUCCGUAGCUGGUUUGAGAGGACGACCAGCCACACUGGGACUGAGACACGGCCCAGACUCCUACGGGAGGCAGCAGUGGGGAAUUUUGGACAAUGGGGGCAACCCUGAUCCAGCCAUCCCGCGUGUGCGAUGAAGGCCUUCGGGUUGUAAAGCACUUUUGGCAGGAAAGAAACGUCGCGGGCUAAUACCCCGUGGAACUGACGGUACCUGCAGAAUAAGCACCGGCUAUCUACGUG
rnacentral:rRNA from 1 species